rnacentral:rRNA from 1 species
UACAGAGGGGGCAAGCGUUAUUCGGAAUUAUUGGGCGUAAAGGGCGCGUAGGCGGCUUUGCAAGUGACGGGUGAAAGCCCUCGGCUUAACCGAGGAACUGCCUGUCAGACUGUAAGGCUUGAGACCGGGAGAGGUGAGUGGAAUUCCCAGUGUAGCGGUGAAAUGCGCAGAUAUCGGGAGGAACACCAAUGGCGAAGGCAGCUCGCUGGGACGUUACUGACGCUGAGACGCGAAAGCGUGGGGAGCAAACAGG